GUGCAUAGACAACUAGGAGGUUGGCUCAGAAGCAGCCACCCUUUAAAGAGUGCGUAAUAGCUCACUAGUCGAGUGCUCUUGCGCGGAUAAUGUACCGGGGCUAAGCAUAUUACCGAAACUGUGGAUGCGUAAGCAUGGUAGGAUAGCGUAAUUAACGCGAUGAAGGAUGACCGUAAGGACAUGUUGGAGCGUUAACUAGUGAGAAUUCCGGUAUGAGUAGCGAAAGAUAGGUGAGAAUCCUAUCCACCGAAUGAGUAAGGUUUCCCCCGGAAGGCUCGUCCGCGGGGGGUUAGUCGGGACCUAAGGCGAGGCUGAAAAGCGUAGUCGAUGGACAACAGGUUGAUAUUCCUGUACCGAUAUUUAAUUGCCGAAGGAAGGACGCAGAAGGAUAACACAGGCCACUAUUGGAUGUGGUUUUAAACAGUUAGUCUUCAUAAGAGUCAAAUGCUUUUAUGUUUAAGGAUAAGCUGUGAAUGUACCAAGUUUACUUGGAAAUUGUGUGAUUUCACGCUGCUGAAAAAAGUUUCGUAGGAAGAAAAUAUUGCCCGUACCGCAAACCGACACAGGUACUCAAGUGGAGAACACUAAGGUGAGCGAGUGAACUAUUGUUAAGGAACUCUGCAAAAUGAGUCCGUAACUUCGGAAGAAGGACUGCUGGUUUUAUACCAGCCGCAGCAAAUAGGCCCAAACAACUGUUUAUCAAAAACACAGGUUUCUGCAAAAUCGUAAGAUGAAGUAUAGGGGCUGACGCCUGCCCAGUGCUGGAAGGUUAAAAGGAGGACUUAGCUUCGGCGAAGGUCUUAAUUGAAGCCCCAGUGAACGGCGGCCGUAACUAUAACGGUCCUAAGGUAGCGAAAUUCC
rnacentral:rRNA from 1 species